UACGUAGGGUGCGAGCGUUGUCCGGAAUUACUGGGCGUAAAGAGCUCGUAGGCGGUUUGUCGCGUUGUUCGUGAAAACCGGGGGCUUAACCCUCGGCGUGCGGGCGAUACGGGCAGGCUUGAGUACUGCAGGGGAGACUGGAAUUCCUGGUGUAGCGGUGGAAUGCGCAGAUAUCAGGAGGAACACCGGUGGCGAAGGCGGGUCUCUGGGCAGUAACUGACGCUGAGGAGCGAAAGCGUGGGGAGCGAACAGG
rnacentral:rRNA from 1 species